GUACGGUCGAAACUGACGGGAUUUUCGAUUGCUUUAUUGUUACGCUAUUCCGUUUCGCGUUUCGUGUUGUGCGUUGCGUCCCGUUGCGUUGCGUUACGUUACGUUGCGUGCAGCUAAACACCGAAAAUUUUAUUAGCAAAUUAUCUAGAGAAUUUCUAUUGUAGAGUGUUAUUGUUAAUUUUAUGAAAUGUGAAACGCACCAAAAUGUGGCUUUCGAAAUUGCGCAUACGCCGCGUUGAUUCUAUUUGAGCAAAAACCAAGAGGAGGAAAUUCGCAAAACUCGUUAGUUGAAUACGAAAACUUAACACGCGCUGAGUUUUUGGGUGUGAUUAUUAUCGCGUGUGCCGCGUAAUCUCAGCACGUUACUAGCUGGCAAAUCCUCUACGAAAAUCUGUAAAUGGACACAAAUGAAAAUGCCAAA